AGAGUUUGAUCCUGGCUCAGAGUGAACGCUAGCGGCGUGCCUAACACAUGCAAGUCGAACGAGAACGGAUUACAGCUUGCUGUAAUUGUCAGCUAAGUGGCGCACGGGUGAGUAAUAUAUAGUUAAUCUGCCCCAAAGAAGAGAAUAAUUGUUGGAAACGACUUGUAAUGCUCUAUAUGCCUUUAUCACAUAAGUGAGCAAGGGAAAUAUUUAUAGCUUUGGGAUGAGACUGUACGGUAUCAGCUAGUUGGUGAGGUAAUGGCUCACCAAGGCAAUGACAUCUAACUGGUUUGAGAGGAUGAUCAGUCACACUGGAACUGAGACACGGUCCAGACUCCUACGGGAGGCAGCAGUGGGGAAUAUUGCACAAUGGAGGGAACUCUGAUGCAGCAACGCCGCGUGGAGGAUGACACAUUUCGGUGCGUAAACUCCUUUUAUAUGAGAAGAUAAUGACGGUAUCAUAUGAAUAAGCACCGGCUAACUCCGUGCCAGCAGCCGCGGUAAUACGGGGGGUGCAAGCGUUACUCGGAAUCACUGGGCGUAAAGAGCAUGUAGGCUGUAGAUUAAGUUGGAAGUGAAAUCCUAUGGCUCAACCAUAGAACUGCUUCCAAAACUGAUUUGCUAGAGUAUGGGAGAGGUAGAUGGAAUUUCUGGUGUAGGGGUAAAAUCCGUAGAGAUC
rnacentral:rRNA from 1 species